rnacentral:rRNA from 1 species
UCAAGGUGUAUAUCGCCAUUGCUGCGGUUAAAAAGCUCGUAGUUGGAUCUGCGCCUUCGGACUCGGUCCGCCCAACGGGUGUGAACUGGGAUCCAAGGCUUAUACUGCUGGUUUUCCCUUGAUGCUCUUUACUGGGUGUCUUGGGUGGCUAGCGAGUUUACUUUGAAAAAAUUAGAGUGCUUAACACAGGCUAACGCCUGAAUACUUGUGCAUGGAAUAAUAGAAUAAGACCACGGUUCUAUUUUAUUGGUUUUCGGAACUGUGAUAAUGGUUAAGAGGGACAGACGGGGGCAUUCGUAUCGCUGCGUGAGAGGUGAAAUUCUUGGACCGCAGCGAGACGCCCUACUGCGAAAGCAUUUGCCAAGAAUGUCUUCGUUAA